UAAAAUAAAUGAAAAAUAAAAUUCAAAAAAAUCGACCAAUAGAAUUAUAACAAUUUUUCUGAGAAGCUCUAUAUGAGUGCCACCUCAGCAGAAAUCACUAAAGUGACUUCUCUUUUAAUGUAUAAGGGGAUUUAAUAUAUAUAUAUUUUUUUUUUACAUUUUUUCGGUUAAAAGACAGUUCUUAUACCUCUUAUUUAAGAGACGGUUCUUAACUUUUUUUAAUUAAAAUCUAUGAAAAACUAAAAACCGUAUCUUAGCCGAAACUAAAAACUUCAAUUAAGAGACUGAGAUUAAUCAUGGCAUAAGUUCGUGCGGUUGCCAAAAAAAACAAAAAGAAAAAAGUUUGUGCGCAAGAAAAAUUGUUAUAAGUUUAAAUAAGGGUUUAUUUGCCAACUAGCCAUAUUUUGAAAACAAAUUAGAUGAGUGGCAAUGAUUUUGACAUAAUAAAAAAACUAACAUUUACAUCAUAAUUCAUCUGGUUAUACCAUUUCUCUUUGCCAUUGUCCGGUAAAAAUGUGUUAUGUGUGUCCAGAUAGUCUAUGUAAUACAUAGUCAAGUAUGUCUAAAAAUAUUUCAUCAGGAAGAAGAAGAAGUCAUUCAUGUUACACGUUUAUUAAUCACAUACAUAUAUACCGAAUGUUUUAUUCCAUAUAACCGAAGUAGCAUAUGAUUAUAAUUUCACCUACAACAUAUAAUACUAAAAAUGUCCCAAGCCUAAACUCUAGAUACUAAACCUUGUCUCAAUCACACCUCAAGCCUUAAAUACUAAACCCUUAUUCAUAUAUAAACUCUAAAUUCAAAUAUUAACUCUAAAUUCAAAUAUAAACUCUAAAUCAAAUGGAAUAGAACAAAAUAAAUAAUAUAGUACAUAUUGGUGAAAUUAUGAAAUGUUUAUGAUUGCAUAGAAGAAGUUAAUGCUGACCCCAACCAUACUUUCUCACCUUCAAAAUACUAAACCAUAAAUUAUAAUCACUAAACCAUUAUAUACAUCUUAAACUCAAAUAUAAACUCUAACCCAAAUAGAAUAGAUCAAAAUAAAUAAUAUAGUACAUAUUGGUAAAAUUAUAAAAUAUCUAUGAUUACAUGAAACAAGUUAAUGUUGACCCCAACGAUACCUCUCACUUUCUAAAUACUAAAUCCUAAAUUAUAAUCACUAAACUCUUUAUAAACCUUGAACCCAAAUAUAAACUCUAACUCAAAUAGAAUAAAACUAAAUAAAUAACAUAGUACAUAUUAGUGAAAUUAUGAAAUGUCUAUAAUUACAUGAAAGAAAUUAAUGAUGAUCCUAAUCAUACCCCUUCACCUUCUAAUACUAAAUCCUAAACUCUAAUCACUAAACCUUAACCCAAAUAUGAAUUCUAAACCUUAAACUUUAUUUACUAAACCCUAAAAUCAAAUAUAAACCUUAAACCCAAACAAUAAAUGCAGUUGUGGUUAACGAAAUUUGUAUGAAGUUAACACUUAUAUGGAUUUGGUUAACUAAAUGAUAAAACUGAGUUUUAAGUUCUUAGAUUUGAUCAAUACGCAUAAAUUAAGAUUCAUAGAAAUGAUACAACAACAAAACAUAACUUAUGCUUAUGAAUCUUACAAUCAUAUUUAUAUCUAUGUUUCGCAAAUAGCAUAAAAUACAACAAAUAGUAAAGAUCAUAUAUUCCAUUUCACAUGAGUGGUCUUUCUAUUUUACGUAGACACGAUCUAUUCCACUUAUAUACAUAUUGCAUCAUUACAUAUAAAUGAGAAUAUAUUCACCAGAUGGCUCAAAUCCAGUUUUGACCAAUCUACUUGGCAGCUUAAAUCUUCAAUUUGUAACCUGAAAAACAAAAGCGAAAGAUAAAGGUGUUAGGAUCCAUAUAACAAUGUAAAUGUAAAAUAAAUUGUAUAGUAUAACAAUUGGAAACCAUGUAAGACGUAAUGAUAUGCAUAGCUCACGAUCUUAAACCACACAUGGGAAUAUAUAUAUAUGAAAUCCUAUUAACUAAUCAUGAAACCCUACACGGAAAUAUGACACUUAAUCUAAUGUUAACCCCAAUCUUGCAAUGACAAACUCAAUAUUCUAGAAACUAACUCCUCUCCAAUCAGCACUAAACCCUACACGGAAAUAUAAACUCUAAUACAAGUAUAAAAAUACGUAAAUAUUAAAUACAAGUAUGAAUUCAGAAGCUAAAAAAGGUGAUAUUAAACGUUCUAAUUUAUUCCAUUCCAAGUCAAAUGGAAUAUAAACGUCUAUAUUUUAUUAUAUUCCAAGUCAAAUGGAAUAUACCUAACGGAGAUCAUGUCAUUUCCAGAUGGUAAAACACGUAUGUAACGCAUAUGCUAUUCCAUAUCGAAACAAUAUUACUACAUCAUUUACUAUGCAUAUCAGAUAGAACACAAAUAAAAUUUAAGAAAGACUACGAACAACCAUAAAACCACAACCAAGUAUACAGUGUGGAACUUAGUCGCAUAAAGCAAAUCCGGCAUUCACCGUCGACAAUGUUGUAUUUAACAUUUAUAGUACCCUAGUUCUGAGUAUAGCUGAAAUGAAAAAGAAAAUAACAGCAGAUGAAGACAAUCGGGUGAAAAAAACACGAGAACUUACCAUAGUUAAACAGAUCCGAGAAUAAUUGAGUGUGGGAAGUGGAAUAGACAGGAGGUGUUGAUAGGCGUCGCUGCAGCUUUAUCGCCGGCGAGGUGCGUCUGAUUUCCGAAUCGGAUUAUCUCAGGCGAUUACAAACCACGAAGGAGAAGUCAAAAUCUAAGAGAAUCAGAAGGACGUGACGGUGUUUGUUCUCUCGGUGUCGGAGACCUUUCAACUUUGACGAAGUUAUCAAAUGAAGUAAGAAAGAAGAUGUGAAGGAAUGUACGUCACAAUUUACCUUUUACGAAUAGUAAUAAAUAAUUUUAAUUAUUUUUUGGUUGUAGGUUUUACCGGUUGCGUUGAAGGCUAGCAGGUUAAUAUUAUAUAAAAUACAAUCUUUAUCGAUGUAUGGUAGGGCAUUUGGCUAUAAAGCUAAAUAUGGUUUUUUUCUUAGCCAUACUGCAUAAUUUCCCUUUAAAUAAUAGGUUUUAACCCGUAGAAUAAUCAGCAAGUUUUUAACACUGAUAUAGUAAAAGAAAUUGUACUGAGCUUACUGAUUGUAAAGCAACUUUGUGAGCACCGGCGUUCGGCCUCUUCGGUCGUCGCCAGUUGCAUUCUUCCCUCUCUGCCUUUUAAUUUUGCUCUCCUACUCCUCUUCGUUGUCGGCGUCAAAUGUUUGGUGUCUCUGGUUGAAGCUUGCUCGGCGUUGGAACCCUAGAUUUUCUCCGGAAGAGCUAGAUUCGACGGUCUGGGGUUUCCCUUUGGAGCACCGACGAGGCGUCUUCGGUUGUAGGGUUCUACUAUCUGUUUCUUUUAUGGGACAAGCAAUAGUAACCUUUGUGGAGGGGUACGUGAGAUGUAGCUGCGGAUGAGGCUUGGCGUUUGGCUUGGGCCUGGGAGUGCUGCCUCUGUUCUUUGGAGUUAAAUCCGGUGGUUGUUGAUCUUUGAUGAUCAGAGACUUUUGCGAGCUCUUCUUUAGAUUUGAGAGGAACGAAAGAAGAUAGUUGGGUUCGGAGCGAUGGCUUCACUGUUGUUUGCUUGUCGCCGUGUUGAUCGUGUUACUCCUGGAUUUGGAGUGGUUAUUAUCCAGUUACCGGCUGUGUGAAUAAAUCGGGUUCGAGAAGCUUCUAUAAGCUUCGUCGUGGGGUAAUGGUGCGUAUGAGGCGUGCGGAGAGCCUAGUCAAGGUCCAAUGGUGAGUUUAAGUUGGGAUUGAAAGGCGUUCACAGCGACGGUUAAGGAUUCUAACCUCUCUCUAUUCAGUUUAUGUGUUAGUGAUGCUAGUGUGCUUGCAAUCUGUCUUGUGGCUUCUCUCAACCUGUGUUAAUUGGUGUGCUCUGCUGUCACUCUCAUCUCUUCGCCCGGUUCCAGUCAACUUCAUCAUUGGUGCAAUUUAUCAUGUAUCUCUUUCUGGAUCCUCCUCAACUUUGCUUUCAUUUUUUAGUCUAGUUUCUCGUUUAAAAGGUUGUACCAAUCUCUGUUUCCGGAUGGUGUCCAUCACCUCACCGGCUUUUGGCUCCAGAAAGGUUUUGUGUACUCAACUGUGUACUCUCCUGUUUCAAGUCAAUAUUAAUCUACCAGAUGACAAAAACAAAAAAAAGCUUACUGAUUGUAAAUUAAUUAUUAUCAUUUUUAGCAAUUUUGAUGUUAUAUGUAUGGUGGAACAUAUCACUCGUGAAACCCUUGAUUUGUUUUUGUUGCAUUCUCCUCUAAACUAAGAGAUAAAUCAAGAUUGUCUUCUUAAAUCCUACUACAUCUAUGAAUAGAGAUCAAAACUAUCAAGAUAUACAUAUGCUAAUCAAACGGUGAUGAAGAUAUUAAAGUUUUAAGCAAAUAAUCGGUUUUUAAAGACUAUGCAUAAGAAAAUAUCAAAUAUUAUUAAUUAUUUAUCUAACCAAAGUUUUAUCAAUAAUAAUAAUAAUAAUAAUCUAAUAUUUUUUAUAAAAAACUGAAAUCAUCAUAUAUUAUAAAACAAAAUUUACUAAAACAUCAACUAUUAAAAAGAAUGACUAAAACAUAAAAAUCCAAUUAUUAAAAAUUAUUAGUAUUUUCUAAAUACUGUGUAAUUUUUUAUUUCUUUCCUUUCCAACAUAAAGAUAAUAAUUGGAUUAUCCUUCUCCUAGUUAAGCAUAUUUUCUUCCUAGAUCUAUAAAAUAUAUUUCCAUUUGUUGGCCGUAAUAUCCUUUCAUAUAAUAUUGUUGUGCAUUCUUUCUUAUUCAAAUACAAUAGUCUCAUUUUUUUCCUAGAACAAAAAAAUUGUGUAAUUGAAUUUUUGUUUCCUAAUUUCUUCAAUUCCUUACCACUCUUUGUAACCUCAAACAUUAUAUUUCAUCCCAAACAUCAUACAGCACAACACAACAUUGUAUAAUCUGCAGAACAAUCUUGUAUAUUAUACAACAGAAGUCAGUUGACAAUUAAGUGUUUGACAUGUGUCUUUUCUAUUUUUUAUUUACAAAUUAUUAGAUUAAAAAAAUUGUAUUAGUUGCUCAAAAUAUUAAUAACAAAUAAAUCAUUAAGCGGCUACAUACCCACUAAUCAGGCCAUUUACAAUUUCACGAUCUUCAUUAUUGUUUUCUUGGUUCUUCUAAUCAUAUAUCUUCCACAAAAUAAUCACUAAAAAACACUCGAUCAAUAGCAAAACAAAACGUGAAUCUGAACGUGAAUCUGAAGACGACAAAGCCAAAGGAACU